GACAGAGGGUGCAAACGUUGUUCGGAAUUACUGGGCGUAAAGCGCGCGUAGGCGGCAGCGUGUGUCGGGCGUGAAAUCCCACGGCUCAACCGUGGAAGUGCACUCGAAACUGCGCAGCUAGAGUCUCGGAGAGGAAGGCGGAAUGCUUGGUGUAGAGGUGAAAUUCGUAGAUAUCAAGCGGAACACCGGUGGCGAAGGCGGCCUUCUGGACGAUGACUGACGCUGAAGUGCGAAAGCGUGGGGAGCAAACAGG
rnacentral:ncRNA from 3 species